rnacentral:rRNA from 1 species
GACGAACGCUGGCGGCGUGCUUAACACAUGCAAGUCGAACGGUAAGGCCCCAGCUUGCUGGGGUACACGAGUGGCGAACGGGUGAGUAACACGUGGGUGACCUGCCCCGCACUUCGGGAUAAGCCUGGGAAACUGGUUCUAAUACCGGAUAGGACCGCACCGUGAGGGUGUGGUGGAAAGUUUUUCGGUGUGGGAUGGGCCCGCGGCCUAUCAGCUUGUUGGUGGGGUAAUGGCCUACCAAGGCGGCGACGGGUAGCCGGCCUGAGAGGGUGGACGGCCACAUUGGGACUGAGACACGGCCCAGACUCCUACGGGAGGCAGCAGUGGGGAAUAUUGCACAAUGGGCGGAAGCCUGAUGCAGCGACGCCGCGUGGGGGAUGACGGCCUUCGGGUUGUAAACUCCUUUCACCAUCGACGAAGGUUUUCUGACGGUAGAUGGAGAAGAAGCACCGGCUAACUACGUG